UACAGAGACUGCAAGCGUUAAUCGGAAUUACUGGGCGUAAAGCGUGCGUAGGCGGUUCGUUAAGUUCGUUGUGAAAGCCCCGGGCUCAACCUGGGAAUGGCAAUGGAAACUGGCGGGCUAGAGUGUGGCAGAGGGGGGUGGAAUUCCACGUGUAGCAGUGAAAUGCGUAGAGAUGUGGAGGAACACCGAUGGCGAAGGCAACCCCCUGGGCUGACACUGACGCUCAGGCACGAAAGCGUGGGGAGCAAACAGG
rnacentral:rRNA from 1 species